ensembl:scaRNA
GGGCUCAGUCUUUCUUUGUAUUCUGGUCUUAAGCAAGAGAAUCUGGACUGGUUGAGGGGUGUCUGGUCCAGGUGGACAAUAGGAUACCAAAGUUUUCAGUAUGACA